rnacentral:tRNA from 1 species
GGCUAUUAGCUCAAAUGGUAGAGCAAUGUGCAUUUAUAUAUGUACAUAGUGUGGGUUCAAGUCCCGUAUAAGCCU